AGAGUUUGAUCAUGGCUCAGAAUGAACGCUGGCGGCAUGCCUAACACAUGCAAGUCGAACGAAGCCUUCGGGCUUAGUGGCGCACGGGUGCGUAACGCGUGGGAAUCUGCCCUUGGGUUCGGAAUAACAGUUAGAAAUGACUGCUAAUACCGAAUGAUGUCGUAAGACCAAAGAUUUAUCGCCCGGGGAUGAGCCCGCGUAGGAUUAGCUAGUUGGUGUGGUAAAGGCGCACCAAGGCGACGAUCCUUAGCUGGUCUGAGAGGAUGAUCAGCCACACUGGGACUGAGACACGGCCCAGACUCCUACGGGAGGCAGCAGUGGGGAAUAUUGGACAAUGGGCGAAAGCCUGAUCCAGCAAUGCCGCGUGAGUGAUGAAGGCCUUAGGGUUGUAAAGCUCUUUACCCGGGAUGAUAAUGACAGUACCGGGAGAAUAAGCUCCGGCUAACUCCGUG
rnacentral:rRNA from 1 species